UGGAUGAGUACUAACGACCAGCAACAGUGUCCAAAAGUAAUCACUCAGUGCCCUGAUCUAGAAGAAGAAGAUGGAUGGAUGGAGAUAAAGUGGGACAUGAAAGGCAGGAAAGUCACAGCCAGCCUUUUUCCCAGCAAAGGUUUUGAUGGUUGGUGACAACUACAGUGAUCUCUGCAAGAAGAGACAGGAAUUCAUAAAGGGUGAAGACAUCUGGCAAGAAGCAAACAAAAGGAAGAGUAAGCCGAACAGCAAGUGGAAAGAUGUGGAAGAGGAUCAUGAAGUACCAU